UGCAUAUUUAAUUCCAGAACCUGAUUGCUCACAAGAACAAUUAGAAGAAUAUGCCGUCUGUUCCCAUCUAAAUGCUCUAAAGUUAAACCCAAAGUCGAAUAAAAAACGAGGAUGGGUGCUCAUAAUAAAAAAUACAAAUUUUGGUGAGAGAUCUUUGCCAUCUGGAAGUGAAGUUGAAAAUCUUAAAAGUCUCUUUGAAGAAUAUCAUUACAAUGUUAGAUAUUACAAAGAUGUUUCCGCUGACAAGCUUUUACAACAUGUUGAGGCAUGCGCAUCCAAAGCCGAUUCGAAGUGUUUUGUCUGCUUCAUAAGCAGUCAUGGCGACUUCUCAUCAAUUGAAUGCAUGGGAGGUGAAUGUGUUGAAACAAAAGAUAUCCUUAAAAAAGCAAACACAGUACAGCUUAAAGGACAACCAAAAUGUAUCUUCAUUGAUGCAUGUCGCACAGGUAGAGGAAGCAGACCAGCAAUUCCGGAUGACAACUUUUUUGUUGGAAUGUCAUCUCUUGCUUACACUGAAAGUAUGGCAGAUGAUCAUGUAGGAGAUUAUUAUCUUCACUGCAUAGCAAACGUAUUUAAGGAAAGCUUUGCGUUCCCUGCUUAUGGCGAUGGUUACGUUCGUGACAUUGAUUAUCUGAUGAAGAAAGUACACAGGGAUGUUCAAUGGUAUGCUGACAGCAAUGGCGAUUCCCAAAAGCCAAUAUAUGAAAGUUCACUUAAAAGUCAACUGUUCCUUCAAGGAACAGAAAACUCUUAAAUAUGAUAUCAACUCUUAUUUGUUUCGAUGUACACUGUCAUUUGCCAAUAUACAUAUUUUCAAUGAAGCAAAUGUAUGUAUUAUUAAUUUUAUAUACAAUACAUUCUUUUAAUUAAAGUUUAGGAAAAUAAUUUGCGAAAGGAUGGACAUUGUGGUGAGAAAGUUAAUGAAUGAAGUAAUUUCCAGUUUGUAACGCAUAUUAUACGAUUUCGAUACAACCCAUUUUUCCCUCUUUCAUUGUUUGUAAGUAGUUAUUUCUUUCAGAACGACAGGUUAUUCUUUCGAAGAAUCAACCCAGACGAUACCAAGUUUCAAUGACAUUUACCUGUAUAAUGUCAUAUUUUUCUUGAUAAAAAUGCAAACUUUAAUUACUUAAUCAUGUAUUUCGUUUGAUAAAUAUCAUGUGUUGUU